UAUAUAGUUUGAUCCUGGCUCAGAUUGAACGCUGGCGGCAGGCCUAACACAUGCAAGUCGAGCGGUAGAGAGGUGCUUGCACCUCUUGAGAGCGGCGGACGGGUGAGUAAUGCCUAGGAAUCUGCCUGGUAGUGGGGGAUAACGUUCGGAAACGAACGCUAAUACCGCAUACGUCCUACGGGAGAAAGCAGGGGACCUUCGGGCCUUGCGCUAUCAGAUGAGCCUAGGUCGGAUUAGCUAGUUGGUGAGGUAAUGGCUCACCAAGGCGACGAUCCGUAACUGGUCUGAGAGGAUGAUCAGUCACACUGGAACUGAGACACGGUCCAGACUCCUACGGGAGGCAGCAGUGGGGAAUAUUGGACAAUGGGCGAAAGCCUGAUCCAANNCAUGCCGCGUGUGUGAAGAAGGUCUUCGGAUUGUAAAGCACUUUAAGUUGGGAGGAAGGGUUGUAGAUUAAUACUCUGCAAUUUUGACGUUACCGACAGAAUAAGCACCGGCUAACUCUGUGCCAGCAGCCGCGGUAAUACAGAGGGUGCAAGCGUUAAUCGGAAUUACUGGGCGUAAAGCGCGCGUAGGUGGUUCGUUAAGUUGGAUGUGAAAGCCCCGGGCUCAACCUGGGAACUGCAUUCAAAACUGUCGAGCUAGAGUAUGGUAGAGGGUGGUGGAAUUUCCUGUGUAGCGGUGAAAUGCGUAGAUAUAGGAAGGAACACCAGUGGCGAAGGCGACCACCUGGACUGAUACUGACACUGAGGUGCGAAAGCGUGGGGAGCAAACAGGAUUAGAUNCCCUGGUAGUCCACNCCGUAAACGAUGUCAACUAGCCGUUGGGAGCCUUGAGCUCUUAGUGGCGCAGCUAACGCAUUAAGUUGACCGCCUGGGGAGUACNNCCNCAAGGUUAAAGGNCAAAUGAAUUGACGGGGGCCCGCACAAGCGGUGGAGCAUGUGUUUUAAUUCGAAGCGAGAGCGAAGAACCUUACCNUCNUCUGAC
rnacentral:rRNA from 1 species